AAAUUCUGCACGUAGCUGGCCAGCUUCACGCUGAGACAGUUUACGAUCAUGAUCAAAACUGUCAAAUAUUUUAAAAGAGAAGCUUUAUCUCUAAUUAGAGUUGAGGUGGGUCAAGUUGCCCUGGAAUCACAGAGCGCAGUGCAGGAACACACCUCAGAUUUGGAGAGUGUUUCUCACAGACGAAGGCAGCAGCCAGGCAUUUGGUGACGACCACGGGCGGUGUGCAGCCUGGAUAAAAUGGAGCUGAAGCAUACUCUGCACAGCUGAGCGUGAUUAUGGCGAAUGAUGAAGGCUUCAGUAUGAAGAUGGUCGUCCAGGAGUAAAGUAAAAAUGAGGCGGGGCUUGUUGAGCAGCUCGUCGUUGAUUGGAGCAGGUGAUCGGGCAGCACAGUGGUCUGUCAUGUGGUUAUGUGCCACCACCGUGGAGAACCGGGGUCAAAUAGACACCUUGUCCUGCCUGUUCCUGUUUGCACGCGGUGUUUCCCAGUGGAGCCGGACUCACCGCAUAUGUUAACCUUUUAGGAUUCUCUAAAGGAGGUUGAACUGGGAGUGUCGUUCUACAUCAAAUGA